rnacentral:lncRNA from 1 species
AUAAAUUAACCAUAAAAUUAGGAGUUACACAAUUGGGCAUUCACUAUAAUUAUCUUCAUAACAAUAUGUAAUUAAUCAAUUUAUUACCAUCCUAGUAAUUUACACUCAUAUUAAUUAUAUCAAGCCAAAUCUAUAAUUCAUUAAUUUAUGUCUUAUUAGAUUAAUCAAACUACAUUUAUUCGGUCUAAACCCAUCAGAAUGUUUGUUGGGUGCAUUUUGUCAUAAACAGAAAGUUACUGGCCGCAACAAUAACAAAGGCUUCUUUAUGACUGAUUUGUCUAAUCCUAAAAUUUCUACAUUCGUAACUUAAUUUCUAGGACUACAGAUAAUGAAUGUAAAUUAAGGAAGUCUACUGACCUUAGCGCAAUCCCUAGAAUUUCCAGGUCAUCUUCUUCCCAUAAUUUGGGAAGUGCCGCAGAACUCCGGCGGAAGAGCCCAGAUCCCGACGAGGCUCCUAAAAAAUAAUCAAUGAAAAAGCAAUCUAAUCGGCUGGAAAGUUUCCUAACCUUGAUUCAAAGCUUUCCAGGUGUUUUCAAUCAUUUGGGUCGUCCUUAAGGUUCCGAACAGGUGAAUCGAUGCAAGGUCGCCGACGGAAACUCGGUUUCUAAACCCAAGAAGAGCCGUCGUCGGAUUGAAGAGUCGCCACAGCCGUUCAUUGAUUGCGAUCCUGAAAUCCUGAGGGAGCCGAUUCGCUUGUGGCCACAGGUCCGCCGUCGUGAUUGGAUGGCCGACUCCAGAAAGAAGCAUUGAGAGGGGAAUCGACUCUUGGAGCCUGGGGUUUCGUUAAAAACCAUUCAGUAAAUUUUGGGAUGAUCCUAAAUUAAUUCCUGAAGGGAGGAGAAUGAUUGAUUACCGGAAUUGACUGGAUUUUGUUAGAAG